UACAGAGGAGCCAAGCGUUGUCCGGAUGGACUGGGCGUAAAGCGCACGCAGGCGGACGCGCGCGUGGGGUGUGAAAUCUGGCCGCUUAACGGCCAGGCGCCAUCCCAUACGGCGCGUCUGGAGUGAUGCAGAGGUCGAUGGAAUUGCCGGUGUAGUGGUGAAAUGCGUAGAGAUCGGCAGGAACACCCAGGGGGAAACCAGCCGCCUGGGCAAGCGCUGACGCUGAGGUGCGAGAGCGUGGGGAGCGAACCGG
rnacentral:rRNA from 1 species